AAGCAGGGGAUCGUAAGACCUUGCGCUUUUGGAGCGGCCGAUGUCUGAUUAGCUAGUUGGUGGGGUAAUGGCCUACCAAGGCUUCGAUCAGUAGCUGGUCUGAGAGGACGGCCAGCCACACUGGGACUGAGACACGGCCCAGACUCCUACGGGAGGCAGCAGUGGGGAAUUUUGGACAAUGGGCGCAAGCCUGAUCCAGCCAUGCCGCGUGAGUGAAGAAGGCCUUCGGGUUGUAAAGCUCUUUCAGCCGGGAAGAAAAGGUUGCGACUAAUAAUCGCAAUUCAUGACGGUACCGAAAGAAGAAGCACCGGCUAACUACGUGCCAGCAGCCGCGGUAAUACGUAGGGUGCGAGCGUUAAUCGGAAUUACUGGGCGUAAAGGGUGCGCAGGCGGUUUUGUAAGUCAGAUGUGAAAUCCCCGGGCUUAACCUGGGAACUGCGUUUGAAACUACAAAGCUAGAGU
rnacentral:rRNA from 1 species